CUAACACUGAUGAGACUGCUAACAUAAGAUCUCAGUGACUCGAAAUCUUGUUUCACACGAGAAAGCUCCUGCUCAUUGUCUGCUGCUCGCUGCCGCUGCCUUGAAGUUUCUAGCACCAUAUCUUCGACCUUCUGCCGCAUCUCGUUCAGAAUACCAUUUGCACCAUGGGCAAGCCGUUCCAUCUCCUCAACCUUAGUUGACAUGCUCUCAAUUUGGAGUGUCUUCUUCUUAAUUUCUUCGAUUCCUGAAUUUACUUUUUCUUUCUCGG
rnacentral:misc_RNA from 1 species